rnacentral:lncRNA from 1 species
GGGACAAGCAACGGGUAAGUGUGGGGAUGUGACGGGUGGUCCGUAGGACAACCCUUAAAAGGCUUAAUACAAUGCAUAUUCUACACUUUAUUCGGUGUUAAAGCUACCAAAAUGUAGCUUUUAGGAGGUAUGAUGGAAUGCUAGAAGUUAUGGGAGUUAAAGAGCGAAAGAAUGGAAGUUGGAGAAAUAAUGGAAAAGAAAACAAGCUCAGGACCGUAAGCUACGGUUCCUGGCCGUAGCUUACGGCCUCCCUUUCAUCCAAAAUGACCCGCCGUAGGACAGGGGCUCUUUACCGUAAAGAACAAUGCUUGCCGUAAGCUACGGUACCUGGCGUAGCUUACGGCACUAAGGUGAUUGACUAAGGCACAUUGACCGCCGUAAGCUACGGCGGUUGGCGUAGCUUACGGCGCCGACUGGGCUCUUGAUGUAACUUAUGCAUUGAAUGACCGUUUUAUGGAGACUUAUGGAGCUUAAUCAUGUUUGGUCGGUUACUAUUUAGAGAAAACGAAUUGAAGGCUAUAUUUAGGGACUUGGGAGCUUGGAAACAUUAUCUUUUGGCUAUCUAAUCAUCUAUCCUUUACUGUCUUUCACUUAAAUCUCUAGUUACUUCUUGUUGGUGAAACUUGUGAACAAUAUUUCCUUUCCAUUUGUCAUGAUGUUUGUUAUAGCCAUGAGUGGCUAAAUACUUGGGUGAUUAUCUUGUGUUGAAGGUUUGUGUAAGACUACGUGUUUUUAUUUCAUAUUUCUAGAAUAACAAUUUCUUUCUAUUU